CUGGCUACAUUGAAUUAUUUAUAUUUUUAGACAUGGGGUCUUGCCAUGUUGCCCAGCUGUGUUCCUAUCUUAAGGCAUGUAUAUUCUGUCCCAAGGUGCAAAUGUUUCGUGGCCCCCAUGUAGCUGAUUGGUGGUGGGAGUUUAUCCCUGAAGAGAAUUGAGAAAAAUAUUAAUAGGACUAGUUACAGCUGCAACAUUGGCCUUAAAUAUCUGCUGUUUCUUGGGCUGAGGUGGUUGGAUAAAUGUAUCUAAUGUAAAAAAUCUUACAAGAUUAUUCAGGAAAAUAGUAGUAGGAGUAACUGUACUUUUCUAACUUUUGGCUUUAAACAUACAGUGUUUCUUGGGCUAUGGCACUAAGGUAAAAUUAUCCAGUUUGUAUAAAUCUUAUGAGGCUUGAUAAAUGGACUUAAUAAUUAUCAGAUGAUGACAAAAUUAAAUGAGUCGGUGAAUGUUAAUGUGUCUCUCCUUUCAUAUAACUAGAUGCCUUGGGACAGUUCCAAUAUGUGGCAUUUAUAUUGUAUUAUGAUGUGUUAAUAACGUGGAUCAGAGACAAGCAAAAGUCAAGGACAAAUGUAAUUUUCUGUGAAAUGUAUAUUUAAUACUUUUUAACAUUUAGCUGAAUUACUUUUGGAUGGCAAUUAAACAUUUUAUCUCCUUACUACUGUGAUUUUAUGUGUGUGUGUGUGUGUGUAUGUGUGUGGUGUCUAUAGAGUGAAUAUAUUAAUUCUCUUAAUGCAGUCUCAAAUACUAAAUACUAAAGUAUUAUAGAUUUUCUUUAAUUGUAUUGAGUUUUAUAUAUUUUAUCGAUUCUCCUCUAAUCUAAGAGAUUUGGUGUUUUUUUUUUUUUUGAUACAGACUGAACAAGGCAAAUUUUACAAUUUAUGAAGCUUAGGUUAUUAUAUUAUUUCAGAAAUGUUCCAUCUGCCCUAUGGUGGCCUUCAAGUUUGGUCAAGUAGUGAAGUAGUGCAAAGAGUACUGACAAUGUAGAGGUCCCAUGAGGGUAGACAGUGGUUUUACUUUGUUCUAAAGGGUACACACUUCCAUUUGGCUGUUUUUAUGCAGAGCACAGAAUUCAUAUGAGGGCAAGUUCAGUAGCAGCCUUUAGUCUGUAGAGGGAUACAUUGAGAAGUAUGUCACAUACCAUAAAUUACCAAUUUGAGGUUAAUGUAUGCUAUCGAGGACCCAGUGGCUCACGGUUACUGCUGUACCCUAAAAACACCUCAGGUUUAUAUGCUCAAGAUAGAGAACUUCAUAGUUAGAAAAUAGCAUUCCCCAAGGCUACAAGGAAACAUUGCUUGACAUUUUGCAACUCUAUUUGAUGUUUUUAAAACAGCAUGCUAUGUAGACACUACUCCAGGUCACGUGCAUUUUUUUUUAAUCUAUACUUAUACAUGCUAUUAAGCUUGCAGUUUUUAUCAGUAGUAAUGGUUACAUUUCUAUAAUUUGAUGCGAUGAGUUUUCCCUGCAAUAUAAAAUUAAUUUACUCUUUAGUAAAAAGGCAAGAACCAAAUGUCUUGCAGGUUACACAGUUGACUUGUGUGUUUUCAUUUUCUCAUACUGAUAACAUAACCAGGGGCCUGACCCAUGCUAGUUAAAUAACCAGAAAUUAUUUCCACAAGGUUGUCAGGCAAACCUUUGAGUUUUAAUGCAAAUUCAACAGAGAAUGGGUAGGGAAUAGCCCUUUUCCCCCUCUAGGUUGUAAAGUAGCUGGACAUAUGCAGGAUUAGAGUUAAUGAUUAAGGUCUAUUCAUAUAAAUUUAAAAGCUAAUAAUCUACAAGAUGCUUAGCACGCUACUUGACACAUUAUAAGCACUCAAUAAACUGAUAUUAUCCUUUAAGAAGCAUUUAUCUCAGAGGUUAAGAGAAUAUACUCUGGAGCAAAACUCUGAGUUUAAGUUGAGUGACUUUAGACAAGUUGCUUAAACUAUCUCUGCCUCUGUUUCCUCAUUUCCACUAUAGGCGUAGAUCAUUUAUCUCAUAGGGUGUUGUUAAAUGCAUAUCAAGCAUUUGUAACAGUGUUUUAAUAAGCAAAAAAAUGUCAUCUAAAUGUUAGUUUAUUAUUUGUGAUACAUUCUAAACCUAUUUAAGUCUUAACAUAAAUAUGCUUCUUAACAUUCAUGGAAAAUUUGUGUCUCCUGUUUUAUUUACCUUUUUUUAUAUAUAUUUGAAACUAUAAGUAGCUCUACCCAGGUGUAGGACAUAUGUUUUUCUAUCUUUUUUUUCUCCCAUGUUGGAGAAAUCUAUUUCCAAGGGGUGGUCUGGUUAUUUGCCUACAGAUCCUCCCCUGGGGACUAUGCAGCGGUGAGACUUCAAAGCUAUCUCAGUUUGCACUUAAUCAUUUGAAACAUCAAAUAACUUGCUUGUUCAUUUAAUGCAUGUUUUCUUAUUGAGGAAAUUAGUCAACCUAAAAUGAGCACCAGAAGCUUAUUUUUCUUGGUGUUGCUCUUAAAGUAGUUCUCACGCAUGUUUAUCUUGGAAGCGUAGGGGACUCUCCUGCAGCUUUUAAGGAUGAUUGAACUUGGGAAUAUUCUGUUUUACCACAAGACUCAUGUUCCCUCUGUUUAAUUUCUUAGAGCUUUCCCUCCCUUCCAUGCAAUUACCGUUUUCUUACACAGUAGGCAGACAAGAUCUGUUUUGCUUCCUCCUUGGGGGAGUGUGUUUAUUUGUUUGUCAAAUACUCUCUGAGUUCCUGCUGGUCCACUGGGCACUGUCCUGGGUGGGUUGAAGAUACAGUGAUGAGCAAGAUGGGCAAAGUCCUUGCUCUCUUGGAGCUUUCACCCGAGAAGGAGAAGACAGACAGCAACGACUAAACAAAUAAGAUAUUUUUAGAAUAUGUGGAAGGAUGAUGAAGCAAAUGAUCAGUGGAAAAAUGAGACAAAGAGGCAAGGAGAAAGGAGGCUGCUGAGAUGAAGCUUCUCUCGUUUGCCUGCCUCUGUGCUGCCCUUCCUCCCCCCAACCCCGUUUCCUAAAUUUCAUGGAAGACAAUUUUGCCAUGGAUAGGGCAGAGGGUAUGGAGCUCAGGCAGUGAUGUGCAGCCCAGUUCCUAACAGGCCAUGGGCCACUACUGGCUGGGGCCUGGGAUUUGGGGUCCCAGUUUUGAAGACUUCAAAAGUGGAGUAUGAGAUAAAGAAGAGUCUAGGAUGACUCCCAGUGUCCUGAACAAAUCUAUUGAGAUUGAGAUGGAAAAGACUGAAGCUGGAGCAGGAUGGGAUGGGUGAGAUUUGGGUAUGUGGAGUGGGAGACACCACUGUUCCACAGGCAAACUAUAAAUGGUACCUCUCCCUUCCACAAUCAGGGGUGGCAGCAUGACCUGGCAUUGGCUAGUGGUUCAUUUAGACAUGAAAUAAAAGCAGGGGAUUGAAAUGUGCUCACAGGUGGGCUCAGCCUCCUGUAAUUCUGUCAUCAGCAUGAGAAGAGCUUCCCCUGGGUGGCUGUUGCCCUCUUAGCCUGGUCCCCAAGUUGCAUGCAAGUGAUGUAGAGCUACCCCAGCUAAGCACAACUAAUUCCUCAGUUUGAAGCAGAGCUGACCAUGGAGCCCACCUGAGAUCAUCAGACACUCCCUGGCCUACAGAUGCAUGAGAAUUAACAGCUACUCUUAUAAAUCAUUGAGUUUUGGGGUGGUCAGUUAUGUAAAAGUUUUGUGGCAAUAACUUAAUAAUGGAGAAUCUAGGUAGUGAAGUGAAAUAGGGAGUUGGAUUUAAGAGAUUUGAUUUCAGAAGAAGUCUGGGAUGGAGAUAGAAAUUUAGGCAUUAUUGGCAAACUGAUGGUAUUUGGAACCUCAAGGUGGAAUGAGUUCAGCAUAGGAGUGAGUGUGGCAGAGAAGGGGACCAAGGAUUGCAUCACUUCCUCCUUACAAUGUCUUGAAGAAGAGGAGCAACCAGUGAGGUGGAAGGAAAAUAGAUUGCCCUGAAAACUGAGUGGACAAAAGCAAUAUUGAGGAGGAGGAAGUGAUUCAUGGUGUCAAAGGAAACUACUGAGAAUUGGUUGUUGGAUUUGAUAACCUGGGAGUGGGGGGUCACUGUUGACCUUGAUAAAUAGAGUUUUAUGGAAGUGUUGGAGAUGAAAGCCUGAUUACAAUGAGUUUAAACAUGACUAUAACCAGAGAAUGAUUGGGGAUAAGGAGCAAAGUGACUUUUUGAGGAGUUUUCUGGGAAGGAGACAGAAAUGAGAUGGAAUAGUGACCCCAUCACAGAAGGAGUAGUAACUCAUGGUAAAGGUGUUGUGCUUUAUUCUGAGCAGGGUGGGAGGUAGUUGAAGUGUUUAAAUAGUAAUCUAUUUGCAUCCGGCUAUGGCUGCUGGAUAGAGAAGCGUCUGGAGUGAAAGUGAGCUGAACAGUUACGAGGCUAUUUCUGUUUCCUAGGUGAGAGAUUAUGUUGGCUUCAGCCUGAGACUUAGCACUGGCAAUGUGGAAAGUCAUGCAUAUAUUUUGCAAAGUGGUAUUAGAAAGAAAGCAUGGUAGGAUCUUUAGCUUAAAGUGCUUAAAAAGUUUUUGUGGUCAAAUGAAAAUCACAAAUGUACAUGAGAUUUAUUUAUUUAUUUUUUUAUAAAUCCUCUCUACCUGUAUCUUAUCUUAUGUAAAUAAUAACUGCUUGAAGCAAUAUGAUGCUGUACUGGUUAACUUUUAUUAAAAUUUAUAUCCUACCACUUUUUGAAGUAAUUUUAGUUGUCUGUAAAAAAAAUGGAUAUGAUCAUUUUUCUCUCCUUCAAAUUCCAUUCUGUUCCAUUCUGAACCAUCCCAGCUAUACUGCCCUGUUUUGCUCAAGUGACAUUAGAGACUAUUUCUGGUAUAAUGUCCUUGUCUGAGUCUGUGGGCAAAAUAACUUUUUAAGUGGAAAAAGUUCUAUGAUCUUUGUUUGGGAUGGGUAUUAACAACAACAAAACAGACUCUUCUUUCCUUAGAUCUUGGAUUCAUAUGUACUAGAGAGUUGUUUCUACAAAGAUGGUGAAUAAAGUAUUUUUCCAAGUGUGCUUUCAGUAGAGACUUGAAUGAUUGUCUGUGAUCUGUUUUGCUCUUAUUCCACGUCCAGAGGUUCCCAUGGGAACCACCCCCAAUUCGUGGGAAGAGUCAAAUUUAACAAACAAUACAGAAAAGCCAUUUAAUCAUCUUCUGUGUGAUCCAUGAAAGAGCCAGAAAUAUGGAGGAAAUGAAAUCACUAGAAUCUCUUUCCAUCUUAUAUGGGACUACCCCCAAACAAAGUCCUGCUCACGGUAAAUAGAUUUGAUGGCAAAAAAAAAACCCUCCAAAAGUCCCAAAUCUGAUAAUAACAAAAAAACCUCUCCUAUCAUCUGUCUCCUUCUCUGUUCAUAUACCUUUUCAAAAUGUGUUAAAUGUUUUUGUGCCUUACACUUUGGCAUCUUGCCAGUCAUUUUCAUUUAACUGUUUUUCCCUUGAAAGAUUUGUUUUCAGAAAAAAAGCUUAGGAUUGUAAUACAGAAAGCCUUCCACAUAAUCUUCUCAUUAUGUUCAGAAAGCUAAUUUUAAACCUGAAUCUCCCAUCUCUCUCUCUCCAUUCCAGUGCUCACCUGCCUGUGUUAAUUAAUUCCUACGCAGCAAUGAAGAUUGGAUUCAGAUACCUGAUCCGUUAGCUAUUGAUUGCAGGGGCUGUGUGUCUUCUAUGGGGAAAUGGGGGCACCUGGUGCCACCAGGACGUAUGAACAGAUUAUCAGUACUGGGGGGGGUGGCUUUGGUGACAGCAGAGACAUAGACCUCCAUCAGGAGCAGGUACUCAGAAAACCAGGGAUAAGAACAGAGGGCACCUACACAAUCUCAUAUUAUGGGAUGCAGCCCUUUUUCCUUUCCCUGAAUGGAUCGAAAACUAUUUUUAAAUGAAUUUGCUUCAGCUAGAUUAUUAGAGAGCACUGAGUCCUACAGGUGGUGAGCUGGAACGGGUCUUGGCGACCACGUAGUCUAAGCUUCGUGUGAUCUGGACCUCCAGGUUGACCUUCUCACUCUCCCCUUGCUCUCUACGGUGAACCCACACUGCCUUUAUUCGGGUCCUCAAUCACAGCUAGCUCUUGUCUGCCCCGAAGUCUUUGUGCGUGUGGUUUAUUCUGGCCGAGAUGCCUCUAGAUGAUUCUUGUUCAUUCCCAAGAUCUUAGAUUGUUUGUUAUUUCCUCAGAAAGCAGGUUCUUGGCCCUCUAAUCUACAGUCGGUUUCCCUGUGCUGUGUUGUCACAGCACCUUUACUUUUCCGUCAGAACAUUUCACAUAGUGCAUAGGUAUGUUUCGUAGAUGAGGUCCUACCAAGACGGUGCCUUGCUUGGGUUGCUUUUUCUCUUCCCCAGUAAAAGAGAUUUUAGAAUCUCCUCCCUUAGAAGCAUAUAGGUGAUGUUUCCCCUAUAGGGGAAGGCCGGUGGCACCACUGCCUUAGAAGGGGUAUAGUUAGGCUGGAAAGCACAAACGCCUGGUAUCUUUGAGGGGAAAGAGAUGACAUUUUUGACAGAUGGUAAAUAUCUGAGCCAUUCCUGCCCAGGUGGGUCCAUGCCAGCUGGAGACUUAGGAGGUGGCUGUUUGUGGGAUCGAAAAACUGAGGCAUGAGAACCUUGGGAGCCCAAGUGCCAGGCAUCUUCGAUGGGCAUAGCAGUCAGGAGGUGAAGCUGCCCUCCGUGGGCCACGCGGGGCCUUUGCAGGAACCUGCAUGGCAGCAGAGCCCAGCAAAGCAAUGGCCCGGCUUCCCCAAAGCACGCUUACGCAGCACCUCUGUGUGGACGCAGUAAGCAAUGGCAGCGGUCAGAUUCCUCUCUAAUGCUCCCUGGUGUGAUGUCCUAGGAGGACCUCCUGUCGGUUAAGCACAUGGGACAUCAAAAAAUAAAUUGGAAGAAUAAGAAAUGCAAGUAUAAAUGAAUGCCUCUCCUGAUUUGGAGAGGCGUUUGUCUCCAUCGGUCUGUAAUAUUCAUUGUAGACCCUGCGCACGUGUUUUAGAGAUGGAGGUGGAGAGAAGUCAAGUCACUCAUCACAGAAUCAUAGCAUUCACUGGUGGAAGAAUUAUAAUAAGAAUAUGUGAAUCUUCUGGCCCCAGUUUUGGUAGUUCUGUGGUCGAAAGGUAGCAUGAAGAAAGCUGGGAAAAUGUCUAAGAUAUAUAUUGAGAGGGCAGGGGCCAUUCCCUCUUUACGAAAUUACUGAAAAUUAUAGGUUGCCAGGGAUAUUUUAGAAAAGAGAAGUUUGAACCUACAGGUGCUUAUGUUAUGCCUGUCAGCCAUUUUGGGGGGGCAUCCAUAUUUUCAUCUGCAUGUUUGUCCUCUUUGUUCCAGUUUUCCUAAUGACCAUCCUCCUUUUCCUUUUGCCUGCCUUGUUGAGGCAGAUCUCUUUCAUCAUGUUAUCAGAGAGAUCCCACUCUGAGACGUGUCUGUCAUUGAGUCAGCUGCUUCCUGGCUAAAGAAAGAGAAGUUCUGGUUCCAGAUCUGAAAUUACCGUUUUACACGUUUAAAAAUGGAAAGAUAUACUUUUGAAGAGUGAAAUAAGUAAAGUAAGUGCAUUAUUAAUAUAACAAAAUAGAUUCCAUAAGAGCUGGUGGGGCAAUAAAAGUGAGAAUGGGGUGAGAGUAAUGAUUGAUGGCUUCUUGGAGAAGGAAAGUUUUAAAGAUAUGAGAUAUAAAGAUAGGAGGAGAAGAUGUACACUCCAGGAAGAAAUGAGACUUGUGGGGAAGAUCAGGGUACAUGUGUUCAUUGGGGUAGUGAGAAGAGAGUUGAUAAGACUUUUGAUGGGAUCCCUCAGAAAUAGCUAAGGAAAAGAUGGCUUAGGGAAGGAGUUCCUUGAAUCAGUGGAAUGUUAGGCUGCUAAAGGAAAGUAAAAAUUUAAAAAAAAAAAAAAGAAGAAAAAUCUCUGAAAUAAUUUCUGGGUUCAAAACCCGGAUUUAUUGUUAAAUCCAGGGUGACUUUGGAUAAGCUAUUUAAGAUCUGAGUCUGUUUCCUCAUCUAUGAAAAUUGGUUUCUGUGAGGAUCAAGUGCAAUAUCCUGUCAUAUGCUCUGGACAGUAUAUUCUGGCUUAGAGGAGGUGUCCAAUAAAUGCUAGUUUUAAACCUUAAAAUAUAACUCACUUAAAAUUGUCAUUACUGGCGCAGGUAUGGUUCUGAAAUAACGUUUUUGGUUUAUCUUGACUUGUUUAGUUCCUGACUUUUAUAGACUUUUUUCUUUGGAUUUUCUCAGAAUUUAAUAGUCUUUCUUAAGUAGGUGUAGAAUAAAUCAUUGUUUUCCUUCAAGAAACAUGGAUGAAUAGGCACACACUUGCAUCAGAUCAUUCUUAGAAAUCUAUCAAAAUGAAUGAAAAGAACCCCCAAAUAGGAAAGAUGAUUUCAUUUAUACUAAAAUUAGAGUGGAGCCUCAACCUCAAAUGCUACAUUACAAAGACUGGUUUGUAGAUUACAUUUAGUAGAAGUUUCCAGGAUUUCAUGCACAUGUUCUUUUAAUCUUAUAUCUGCUGCGUAUAUGGGAAAUGAAAAAAAAAAAAAGUUUGAAGGGCUUUCAAUAACCCUGGAAAAUAGGACAGGAUGGCAAAGUUACACAUCAAAUUUCAUGUUCCAGAAAAUGCACCUUAUAACAAAAAGACUUAAAAAGGAGGGAUUGUUUUUCCCAAAAACAUUAAUUUAAGAAGUUUAGAUAUGUUUCCAUAAGUCUACCGUCCUUCAUUAUUUGUCCAUUAAUAUUUCAGUACAAACAUACUCAGUGUUUCCUAAACACAUUCCAUUAAUAAUUAAGAAAUGAAAGCUUAUAUUUAAUGAUUUCUUACCAUAUACACGUGGUUGUGGUCACAACAACGCUAAAAGAAUUGUGGAGCACACACUCAGCUGUUGCACUAAAGACUGUCAUCCUGCCUGCUUGCCUGUUACAUGAACAUGAUUGGGCAGACUAUCCUCAUAUUCUUUCCUGUUCUGCAUCUGAAAAUAACCUAGGCCGAACGGACGGAAUCCUCCCUGAUUUGGGGAAUUGAAUGUGUCCCCAUCAGCAGGGAUCACAAACAGCAGCAGGUAACUUACACGAGAGAAUCAGACUAGUUAUUGAAUAUAUAUACAGCUACCGUGGAGCCUGCAGAGACAUGUGGCAAACAUGCAGCAUGCGCUGGUGGUCAGCAUCAGCCCAUUCUUGCCAUUUGGGAAAGUGAGCCCAUUGUUUCUAGAGCUUUGAUUUCCCAAGCGAAGCAUGGAAUCUGUUGGCUUUUUUGUUGUUGUUGUUGUUCAUCUCUUUUUUUCUGGAAAGAUGAAACCUCCAGCUUUAAAAGUGUUGGCAACUAAUUCAAGAUUCUUUUUAAAGCAUAGUCAAUGUAGGCAGCACUAGUAAGCUAGGACAGGACAUAACUGUGAGCCACAGGCCCACAGGCUUUUGGUUGACAAUCUCUGAGCCAUAACGUAUACAGUUGGAAUCCUGAGAGGCAGAGAGUGGAGUAAGGAUGAAGUCUCAGAUCAAAGUCAGAACUCUUGGCAUCAAACCUGUAACCUUUUUCCUGGAGCGCUUUGACUGUCUUAACACAAGACAAGGUCUGAUCUGGGAGACCAUUGUUUAAAAUUGAUAGUCCACAUUAUGCUUUUGACCAGAAUCUCUCCACUACUGAGAAUUUUGAUCCUCGGUAUGAACACACUGCUCUCAAGAAGUUGAUAGGGUUUUUUUGUUUGUUUGUUUGUUUGUUUUGUUUUUGCAUUUUUAAAAGAAAAUAAUAAUUCUCAACAUAUCCCCAAAGCUUGCGACAUCUAUGCCUCUAACUGUUCCUUAGGAACUUUCUUAAUAUUAUGAGAAUUAAGUUUCGAAACAGAAUACAGAAUAGUUAAGCAUAAAUGGUCUCAUCUCGUCCUGACCUAUCUCAGGCUCUUUUUCAGUCUUUUCACAUGAUGAUAUAAGCCAGUUCUAUCUGAGCUUUGGGGAAAGCAUUGCAGGGGUCUCAGAGCACUGGGAAAGGAUACAUAAGGCAUCAGAAGGUUGGCUUUGACAUGGCCUCCAUGAAAGGUAUACCGUUUUCCUGCCCUGUUGCUUUCAUAUUAAAAGGAAUUUCUAUCUGUCAAGCAUUUCUCCUUCACUGCUUUCCCUGAGAACUAUUGCAGCAUUGUAUUAUGUGACACGGGCCAUUUUUUUUAACAUAUGAUUUGUAGACUAUGAGAUUUGUAAGCAGCUAUUAACAAUACCCUAUUUUAUUUUUAAAGCUAUGUUUGAAUGGAUUCUGUUUGUUCCACUAUGAUCUUUUUUUUUUUUGUCUGAAUAAUAAUGUCAGUUUGACAUAGGCUGAAUUUUUUUUUUUUUUUUAACAUUUAGUUUAAUCCUUUGACAAACCUUGCCCUCAUUUGUGUUUGACCUUGGACCACUUGCCUUGGCUGGUUAUUUAAUUUGAAAAUUAGAAAAUGGCUAUUUCAUUUUUCUUGUUAUUAAACUCAAGAGCUCACCCAGGUUCUUCUUUUCCUUUGCCGUGUGUUUCCCCUCCAUCUUCCUAAUUUCUUAUGUAUGUAUUAAUAAAAUUGCUUCAGAGAUAAUAGUCUAGUCAAACGCAUAGCUACCUAAUUUGUUUAUGGAAAAGCUAAAGUAGGGUUGGAAGGACAUAUUACUAAAUUGUAAUUUUAAAUUUUUUAUCUUUGAAUGUCAGCCUCACUGUGUUCCUUCUUUGAAUCUAUAAAUAUGCAUUUUAUUGAAUGUUAGAGGUGGAAGGCAGUUUGGCGGUCACUUGGACUAUAACCAUUCUUUUACUGAAAGGGCAAUUGUGAACUAUGUAGGAGAUGCUUCUUGGCCAAGGUCAUAUAUAUGCUGGUGGCAAAAUCAGGAGAUAGUAUUGUAUAGUAGUUAGAGCUUAAGAUCAAACAAAUCUUCAAAACUGACUUUGUGUCCUGGAUGGACAUCUCAUAAUUAUGUUGCGGCGACUUCAGACAACCCAGAUAACUUCUCUGUGUCCCAGUUUCAACAGUUUUAAAAUGAAGGUUAUAAUACUGCUCACUAUUUGUGAUGAGGAAUAAAUGAUAGAUUCCAUAUCAACUGCAUGACACAGCUUCUAACACCUGGUAAGUUCUCAGUAAGUUCACUGUUAUUGCUGUAUCUCUCAUACUCAUCACCCUAAUCACCUGCCAAUGUUUAUUUUAUCACACAGCUCUGACAAUGUUUUCAAACUAUGUGAAGGAUUUCUUAAGUUCUGUCAUACUUCCGCAGCAAGGACUUGGUAUCUGUUGUCAUUUUUGUCCUUUGUUGAGGGUGUCUUAGGUGGUUCAGCAAAAGUAUAUGGGUGUGUUUUGUUAGGUUCACAACUCCUUGCUUUUCAUUCUUCGCAUUUGGUUCACAAAUUCAGUCAGUAUCGUAUUGAGCAAGCACCUUCCUUCUGUGUGUAAGGCUCUUCGCUAGAUCCCGACGAUACAGGGUAAACAAGAAGACAUAAUCCCUCUCUUCCUGGAGCUUAUGUUCUGUGGUGGGAGAAUGGAAGCUAAAGAAUUAACCAUGCUUUUGUUUCUUUAUGAUUUGCUCAGUGGUUAAAAUGAGUCCCGAGGGCUAUGAGUGAGUGAAAAAGGGGUAUCAAUCACAGAGCCCUGUAGAACAAAUAGGUCUAAGUUAGGGGGCAGUGCAGGAAGCCUUUCAUUUGGAAGGGAUAGUGUCUGAAGAGGUGCAAGAAGGGGAAAGCAUUGAAAUUCUAGGAGUGGGUCGAAAGCCAUUGUUGCUGAAGUAAAUGGAUGCUGGAGGAUGAGGAUGGAGAGGAAGAGGAGGCUAGAUCAUGGAUUUUUAGGCCAUGUUAACUUUUCGGGGCUCUAUUAUGAGAAAAUCGAAGGUUACUGAAAAGUGAUAAGCGGAAAAAAUGUCACAGCCAGAUCUUUUUAAAAGAUCGUUUUAGUACUUCAUGAAGAAUGGGUGGAGGAAAGAAGAACAGAGGCAGAGAAAUCUGUUCAGGGCAGAGGGUGGCCUGUACUAGGAUGUAGGCAGUGGAAUUGGAGAGAGAUCUGAGAGUUGCACCCUCUUGGAUCUCAUGCAGUGCAUGAGCCUGGGGUAUGACAGGGUGCAUCGACAGAGGCAGAGAGAAGGGUCAAGAGUGACUCUGCUUAUAACUUGAGCCCCAGAUGUCAUUAAUAUUGGAGCAAGAUGGAUCCAUGAUUAGAAUUUUUUCAGAUGGAAUCAAAGCACAAAGGAGUUCUACAUUCUGGUAGAAGACUGAUAGAAGUGAGAAGUGAAAAGAGGACUCUAUUUGCAGUACACAAACCCCUUAGGAACUCGGCUGCACAGCAGAAGGUGAGUGACAGGUGAGCAAGCAAAGCUUCAUCUGUAUUUACACCUGCUCCCCAUUGCUCACCGUUGCCACCACCCUGCCUCAGGUUUGUAUGAAAAUUGUCUUCCAUGAAACUGGUCCCUGGUGCCAAAAAGGUUGGGGACCACUGCUCUAAGUCAUGAUUAAGACAGAAGACACACAAAUAUGUUAAGCAGUAAAAGAAUCAAAUGCCAAGAAUCAGUAUAGUUAAGGUGUGAUUUGUGAGGUUUGUGUAUGUUAAUCAGAGUCAAGGAAUUCCUGUUUCUUGCUGUUUUGAUAGGCAUGCAUCACAUUUAAUCAGAUGAACUACUGAGUUCAACUAAAUUAAUUAAUCACUUUGUAGUAGAGACUGGGAUAGUUUGUUUCAGUUCUUGGAUGUAAAUUGAUUGGUUGGAAUGUUUUUAUCCUGAAAUUAAGCUAAUCUACUGACAUUUGUAUACCAGAUACUGGUCUUGCAUCUUGUAAAAAUGUAUCAAUUACAAACAUUUUUUAAAAUUUUUAUUCUUUAAUGAGGAUGUGAGCUUCAGACUAAAUCUUGUGUAUCUAUGAAUGACAAUAAAAUACUAAAUAAAAAUGAAUUAUAAUAAAAUAAAAUACUAAAUAAAAAACUAAAUAAUUUAACAUAUUUAGUUUUCCUAUAUGCAUCAUAUUUAUUUCAGCACAUUAUGAUUUCAGCUUGAUUUGUGUUUGAAUUACUCAUUGUUUAUCAACAUGAGAUAUCCAUCUGUUUGAGAGUUAAGUAUUUUAUGUUCAGAGUUUUGCUCAUUGUACUGAAAAAAUACUCCUUUUGAAUAUUCAUGUAUUGGAUACAUGUAUACAUGCUUGAAUUAAAAAAUAAAAGAAUCCUGUCAAUGUAAAGAAUUUUGGGGGUAAGGCUGACAAUUUAAGCAGGUUUUGUCUUGGACCUUUAUUUCUUUUCCAACCUCCCAUCAAAUAAUUAAGAAGGAAAACAACGUGCCACAACUGAAAGAUCCAUGAGGGUCCCCAUCUAUCUGCCUGAAAUCUUGAGGGGUGUCUAAGGCUACCACUCAUGCAGAGAGAUGUUAGUGAGCUGUUCUGACCUGCUAUUGACUCAAUAGCAUUUGUCAAACGUAGGGAAUGGAGAAAGAUGCUCUUGCUAUUCUGCUGGUCAUGUGGCCUGUCAAAGCCCACAACCACAAAUGUUUAGAGAGAAUUUAAAGCUGAAUAUAAGAGAUAACUGUAAUGAUGUACUGAUAGAAGUGUUCUGUCAGACUCAAGAGGAUAUUGCAUUUACCAAACAAAAGCAACCACAAAAAAGAGGAAAACUAAAAAUUAAAG